CGUGAAUACGUUCCCGGACCUUGCACACACCGCCCGUCAAGCCAUGGAAGCUGGGUGUACCUAAAGUCGGUAACCGUAAGGAGCCGCCUAGGGUAAAACUAGUGACUGGGGCU
rnacentral:rRNA from 1 species